GGUCCGGUGGUAUAGUGGUAACACCUCCCUCUUCGGUAUAUCCUUUGCCAUGUAAAUAAUGGGAUGUCUCUUGUUCGAAUCAAGGCCAGGCCA